rnacentral:rRNA from 1 species
UACAGAGGUCUCAAGCGUUGUUCGGAUUCAUUGGGCGUAAAGGGUGUGUAGGUGGCGCGCUAAGUCGGGUGUGAAAUUUCGGAGCUUAACUCCGAAACUGCAUUUGAUACUGGCGUGCUUGAGGACUGGAGAGGAGACUGGAAUUCAUGGUGUAGCAGUGAAAUGCGUAGAGAUCAUGAGGAAGACCAGUGGCGAAGGCGGGUCUCUGGGCUGAUACCGACGCUGAGGCGCGAAAGCCAGGGGAGCAAACGGG